AUUCAGGUGACGAGUCCCAAAUAGGACGAAACGUGAAU
rnacentral:hammerhead_ribozyme from 1 species